rnacentral:tRNA from 1 species
GGUGAGAUGGGUGAGUGGCUGAAACCAGUAGUUUGCUAAACUGCCGUACGGGCAACCGUACCGCGGGUUCGAAUCCCGCUCUCACCGCCA